rnacentral:misc_RNA from 1 species
UGUUGCAGCAGUAUUAGGAUGAGACAGUCCACAGGUAAAAUGAAGAAGGAACAAAGCACGGUUCACAUAUCUGUCAAAAAAAUUAGGACCAAUCAAGGGAGCCAAUGAAGUACAAAAAACAAACGAAAAAAAUUUUACAGGAACUCAAUUAAAAGAAUAAACUAGAACCACAUAGCUUAUUCAAUUAAAAAAUUGCAUUUAGCAGAAAAACAGUUCUCAUUGAAAUAAUUAAUUACAACAUAAGGGUGAAGGGGCAGAUUCAACAAUGAAGUUCAUUUCAAGAACUUCUGUUUUUCUGGCAUCAUUAAUUAUAGUCUAGUUAAUUCAGUAAUUAAAUGUGCAAAGAUGAUUGGCAAAUAAAGAAAAAGGUAAAUUACUAAAGACCUGGCUUAACAUACGCCUUUGCCCCUACUGAUUGAAAAUUAGUUAAUUUAAUCAUUAUACUACCAUUAGUAAAAAAAAAAUGUAGGAUUUUGAGGAAGUAAAGGGUUUAUAAUGUAACAAUUCAGGGACCUAAAGUGUGAUCAAAGUUUAAAAUUUCAAGGAAUAAAUUGUGGUAAGUUUAAAAUAACAGGGACAAGUGUAAUUUAAAAAAAAAAAUCAUUUCUUAUACAUGAAUGACUAAAGUGUAAAGUUGAGGAAAGAAAAUGUAUGUUAGAACAAAACUCAGGGGAAUUUUUGUAGUUUACCCAAAGAAAAAAGUCCAGUGCAUAUUCAAUUUUACUUACAAAGCCAACUCAAUACGUUGAAGACGAUAAUAAAACACAU